UACGUAGGGUGCAAGCGUGAUCCGGAAUUAUUGGGCGUAAAGAGCUCGUAGGCGGUUUGUCGCGCCUGCUGUGAAAACUGGAGGCUCAACCUCCAGCCUGCAGUGGGUACGGGCAGACUAGAGUGCGGUAGGGGAGAUUGGAAUUCCUGGUGUAGCGGUGGAAUGCGCAGAUAUCAGGAGGAACACCGAUGGCGAAGGCAGAUCUCUGGGCCGUAACUGACGCUGAGGAGCGAAAGCAUGGGGAGCGAACAGG
rnacentral:rRNA from 1 species